GUGCUUACUCUGGCAGCACAUAUACUAAAAUUGGAAUGAUACAGAGAAUAUUAGCAUGAGCCAUGCACAAGGAUGACAUACAAAUUUGUGAAGAGUUCCAUAUUUUU